CUAAAGGAGGACCCGCAGUGUAAACUGACAAAUCUCAGGCCUUGGAGACACUGAGUCUGUGAGGCCAUUUGCUUCACAGAGGAAAUGGGCACGAUCUCCAGCUGAGCUCCAAGGGAUCUGAACUCACAGGCUUCACACCUACCCCAGGCCAAUCAGAAAUGCUUACAUUCUAAAUUAUGUCUAAAUGAAAGCACAAUUAGAACUAGAUAUAAUAUGUAUUGACUAUGGUAUGUAUAUAAUUAUGAACUCUAAAUCUUAAUUUCUGGUUCCUUCACUUGGCACACCUAUUUUUGGGCAGUUUCUCCCAUUCUUCUUUGCAGGACCUCUCAAGCUUCAUUAGGUUGGAUGGGGAGCGUCGGUGCUCAUGUGAUUUUUUUCAUUUUUAAAAGAUUUGCAAAAAUUUCAAAAAACCUUUUUCUUUUCAUUGUGUGUAGAAUGUUGAGGAAAAAAAUGAAUUUAAUCCAUUUUGGAAUAAGGCUGUACCAUAACAAAAUGUGGAAAAAGUGAAGCGCUGUGAAUACUUUCCGGAUGCACUGUACGAGUUCUAUGAGUAUAAUUAGUAUUUUUCAUUACGAUUGACAUAUAGCAUUAGUCUCAUUAUUUAAUAGCCACACCUCAUAUGUUAUUGUAGCGCCCUCAGCACAAGAUUAUUGCCUGAAGUGAAAAAUGCAUCAAGUUUUGAUAAGUUCACCAGUUCUACCACUAGGUGGCACCAGCGCGCUAGAAACGGUGGUUGCUGUAUCCACGCUGACUCCUGCAGGAAGAAGAACAGUUCUCAGCAGGAGAAAGACAUGGGCUGUUGUCCUGAUGAAUGUAUUUGGCAUGUUUUACAGUAAACAUCAGUGAAAUAAAUGUAUGUGGCAUCAAGACAAAAUCCAACUCUCAGUCUUUGAGUGUGGUACAUUAUCAAGCUGUUGACUUAGGGGCAUCACUAAUGACCAUAGAUGAACAUCAUGUAAGACCCUUUAAGAAAAUGAUUUAUUUUGUUAAUGCUUUUCUUUCAUUGAUAAUGCUAUGUGGUUGGAGUUCAAACUGUGUGCGCUGUGUGUGCUUGAUGCCUUUUCCCUUGUUUAGUAACUAUGUAUGUUUCCCGCUGGAAUUCGUUGUUUUUCAAGGCUGUACCCAAUCCUGUGUGAGGAGAAGUAGUUGUUUUUAUUGGAGCAAGUUGGAUUUGUAGGUGGCAUGAAUGGGUAGUCUUCUGUCUGUUAAGGAGAGGUUUAGCUGUAUUAAGUUGUGUAUUCAAAAUAGACACGGGCAACAACGAGACCUGGGACUCAGCUAAUUUUCAUAGCAAGCAUUAGUUUAUCUGUGUAACUUCGUCCACGGUGCCUGAUGAAGAGAAGCGCGGAGGGAGUUUGGGCUGGGUUCACCAUCACAGAGCUGGGAGCUGAAGCUAAUAAGUUAGCCUCCAUGAACUUCAUCCUGUCCGUCAAGCAUCACGGACUACUGAGUAAUUCGUUCCUGAAAGGGAGUGCUGCUGAGGAAGCCUGUGCUGCUGUGGCUUC